GAUGAACGCUGGCGGCGUGCCUAACACAUGCAAGUCGAGCGGUAUAUACUGGAACGAAACUUCGGUCUAGAGAAGGUAUAGAGAGCGGCGGACGGGUGAGUAACGCGUAGGCAACCUGCCCCAUACAGAGGGAUAGCCUCGGGAAACCGGGAUUAAAACCUCAUAACACGAGAGUUUCACAUGUUACUUUCGUCAAAGAUUUAUCGGUAUGGGAUGGGCCUGCGUCUGAUUAGCUAGUUGGUGAGGUAACGGCUCACCAAGGCAACGAUCAGUAGCCGACCUGAGAGGGUAAUCGGCCACAUUGGAACUGAGACACGGUCCAAACUCCUACGGGAGGCAG
rnacentral:rRNA from 1 species